rnacentral:rRNA from 1 species
AUUGAACGCUGGCGGCAGGCCUAACACAUGCAAGUCGAGCGGAUGAAGGGAGCUUGCUCCUGGAUUCAGCGGCGGACGGGUGAGUAAUGCCUAGGAAUCUGCCUGGUAGUGGGGGAUAACGUCCGGAAACGGGCGCUAAUACCGCAUCCGUCCUGAGGGGGAAAGGGGGGGAUCUUCGGCCCUCCCCCUUUCAGAUGAGCCUAGGUCGGAUUGGCUAGUUGGUGGGGUAAAGUCCUACCAAGGCGACGAUCCGUAACUGGUCUGAGAGGAUGAUCAGUCACACGGGAACUGAGACACGGUCCAGACUCCUACGGGAGGCAGCAGUGGGGAAUAUUGGACAAUGGGCGAAAGCCUGAUCCAGCCAUGCCGCGUGUGUGAAGAAGGUCUUCGGAUUGUAAAGCACUUUAAGUUGGGAGGAAGGGCAGUAAGUUAAUACCUUGCUGUUUUGACGUUACCAACAGAAUAAGCACCGGCUAACUUCGUG